UUUGAAGUGUAAUGUAAGUCGCUUUGGAUAAAAGCAUCUGCUAAAUGAACUGUA
rfam:Gasterosteus aculeatus cont1.004641, whole genome shotgun sequence.